UUGAACGCUGGCGGCAGGCCUAACACAUGCAAGUCGAGCGGAUGAAGGGAGCUUGCUCCUGGAUUCAGCGGCGGACGGGUGAGUAAUGCCUAGGAAUCUGCCUGGUAGUGGGGGAUAACGUCCGGAAACGGGCGCUAAUACCGCAUACGUCCUGAGGGAGAAAGUGGGGGAUCUUCGGACCUCACGCUAUCAGAUGAGCCUAGGUCGGAUUAGCUAGUUGGUGGGGUAAAGGCCUACCAAGGCGACGAUCCGUAACUGGUCUGAGAGGAUGAUCAGUCACACUGGAACUGAGACACGGUCCAGACUCCUACGGGAGGCAGCAGUGGGGAAUAUUGGACAAUGGGCGAAAGCCUGAUCCAGCCAUGCCGCGUGUGUGAAGAAGGUCUUCGGAUUGUAAAGCACUUUAAGUUGGGAGGAAGGGCAGUAAGUUAAUACCUUGCUGUUUUAACGUUACCAACAGAAUAAGCACCGGCUAACUUCGUG
rnacentral:rRNA from 1 species